UCCCUUGCCUCCAAUUUUCCCAUCUUCCCGGGGAGCCUUGAAAUGUACAUUUGAGAAGACUUUUGCCAUCCUCAGGGAAAAGGACUGUGUCAAGAGUGAGCCACCCAGUCUCUAAAGCUAGGAAGCCCCCAGUGUGCCACGGGAAACGCUUGCCUCUCACCCUGUUUCCCAGCGCCAACCUCCGGGGCAGGCAUCCGGGUGGAGAGAGGACUUGUCCCUCGUGGGUGGUGGUUCUUUAUAGAAAAAAUCGAAGCUUAGCAGCUCCUCGAGGCCCGGGUUUGGUAAAGGCUCCAGUGUGGUGGCCUAUGAAGGACAAUCCUGGCACGACUACUGCUUCCACUGCAAAAAAUGCUCCGUGAAUCUGGCCAACAAGCGCUUUGUUUUCCACCAGGAGCAAGUGUAUUGCCCCGACUGUGCCAAAAAGCUGUAAACUGACAGGGGCUCCUGUCCUGUAAAAUGGCAUUUGAAUCUCGUUCUUUGUGUCCUUACUUUCUGCCCUAUACCAUCAAUAGGGGAAGAGUGGUCCUUCCCUUCUUUAAAGUUCUCCUUCCGUCUUUUCUCCCAUUUUACAGUAUUACUCAAAUAAGGGCACACAGUGAUCAUAUUAGCAUUUAGCAAAAAGCAGCCCUGCAGCAAAGUGAAUUUCUGUCCGGCUGCAAUUUAAAAAUGAAAACUUAGGUAGAUUGACUCUUCUGCAUGUUUCUCAUAGAGCAGAAAAGUGCUAAUCAUUUAGCCACUUAGUGAUGUAAGCAAGAA
rnacentral:sRNA from 1 species